rnacentral:rRNA from 1 species
AUUGGGGAAUUUUCCGCAAUGGGCGAAAGCCUGACGGAGCAAUCUCGCGUGAGGGAUGACGGCCUAUGGGUUGUAAACCUCUUUUUUCAGGGAGGAAUAAAAUGACGUGUACCUGAGGAAUAAGCAUCGGCUAACUCCGUGCCAGCAGCCGCGGUAAGACGGAGGAUGCAAGUGUUAUCCGGAAUCACUGGGCGUAAAGCGUCUGUAGGUGGUUUAAUAAGUCAACUGUUAAAUCUUGAGGCUCAACCUCAAAAUCGCAGUCGAAACUAUUAGGCUAGAGUAUAGUAGGGGUAAAGGGAAUUUCCAGUGGAGCGGUGAAAUGCGUAGAGAUUGGAAAGAACACCGAUGGCGAAGGCACUUUACUGGGCUAUUACUAACACUCAGAGACGAAAGCUAGGGUAGCAAAUGGGAUUAGAUACCCCAGUAGUCAAU